UCGGGGGUAGCUCAGCGGCAGAGCAAGGGACUGUUAAUCCCUGGGUCGUGGGUUCGAUCCCCACCCCCCGAG
rfam:Parcubacteria (Thrbacteria) bacterium GW2011_GWC2_53_7 TY82_C0047, whole genome shotgun sequence.